rnacentral:tRNA from 1 species
AGGGUUCUAGAUCAAUGAAAUAGCACUUGCCUUACAUGCAAGAAAUUGGUGGUUCCAUUCCUCUGUGCCCUA